UACGGGGGGGGCAAGCGUUGUUCGGAAUUACUGGGCGUAAAGCGUGCGUAGACGGUUAUUUAAGUCAGGUGUGAAAGCCCAGGGCUCAACCUUGGAAUUGCAUUUGAGACUGAAUAGCUAGGGUGCGGAAGAGGGAAGCGGAAUUUCCGGUGUAGCGGUGAAAUGCGUAGAUAUCGGAAGGAACACCAGUGGCGAAAGCGGCUUCCUGGUCCAGCACCGACGUUCAGGCACGAAAGCGUGGGGAGCAAACAGG
rnacentral:rRNA from 1 species